rnacentral:lncRNA from 1 species
UCUUGGAAAAAAUCAAUCGGUAUGUCAAACAUAUCAAAGAUGGAGUAUAAAAAGUAGAAAUGUACAAUUAUCAUAUAAAGGGAUUUGAAGGAUUUGAAGGAUUCCUGUGUUUGAAUUGCAACACAGAUAAACAGUUAACCUCCUCAAUCAAGAACUAAAAUAAGUUCAAAGUACUUGCGAUUUAGAAUUUCCCUGUAGUUAUAACAUAUAAUUAUCUGAAUAUGCAUUAGACAGUUAUUAGGAUUGAAUGUCAGUUCAUUACCCGAGAUGAACAAUGACAGAACCAAAUUUAAUAGUUGAUUGUCCAGACCUUAAAAAAAUAUAUAUGUAAGACUUUAAAUACCAAUACAAUUUUCCAGCUAGUAAGUACAUUCUCAUAUUUAUUUAUACCGUAAAGUUUUAGGUAUGAUUUUUUCUGAAGGCCGAUC